AAUGGUGUCCAUACAGGUAG
rnacentral:piRNA from 2 species